CUCAUGUGUGAUCCUCCCUAUCACAUCAAACACUUCUCCACACCAAACAAGACAAGAUGAAUGCGAAGAAUGCAAUUCUCUGUUGCCUUCUUGUCGUGCUCAUGCUACAGCACGCAGAUCAUGCUGUAGCCAUCGACUGCGGCCACACAAAUCCUUCGAUUCCAUUCUGUAAAGGUUGGAUGUGCAAGAGCGAGUGUUGGCUGGAGGGAAAAUUAAUGAGAGCUAAAGUCGUGGAGCACAAGUGCAUGAAAGGAGGAUUCAAGGGAUGGUGUUACUGCGGUUUCUGUCGUUAAUUUGAAAGCUGUGGAAGAAGAAUCAAUCCAAUAAUAAUAAUUCGACACAUGUCGUUUUUCCCCUAUUAUUUUGCUAGCUAGCUCUCAAUAUAAUUUAAGAUAGUAGUAGUUAAAUUUCUGCAGCAGCUAGUGUUAAUCUUUUUUGCUUUGGAAUAUUAAUUAGUGUCUGCUAUUUUAUUGAAAUCUUUUUGAUUAAAGAGUACUAGCAUUGAGAUUACUCUUCAA